AUAUUUGGGGGAGGCUUCUGGUCCUGGGAGUAAGGCUUGGCUGGGUGUGUAUGUGUGUCCUUCAUGGAGGUUCCAGCUUGGCUGGAGGACAGUCUGAUCUAUAAGUCAGAGGCAACGUUUCUCCUUCUCAAGGAGAAAGAGAGAUUUCAGGAACCACCUGAGGCAUCCAUGAAUACUGAACUGAACUGACAUUUGUGUUCACAUCAAAGGACCAACACUGGGGAGAAAGUGGAUACAUGCAAGGAAUGUGGCAAGAACUUUGCUAGGAGUGAUGUUCUUACUUUACAAGUAAGAGCGCAUACAGGAGAGAAGUGCAUUGUAUGUGGAAAUAGCUUCAGCCAAAGUGGACAUCUGCAUAACACCAAAGACAUCAAACAGGAGAGAAGCUUUAUAAAUGCAUGAUCUGUAGAGUAACCUUCAGUAGGAAUACUGCUCUACCUUUCAUGAAAGUUGACAAGGGAGGAAAGCUCUAUAAAUGCAUGGAACUUGGAAACCCUUUCCAUUUUGGUAUCAAUUGGACUGAAGAGAAACCUUUUGUGUAUAUUUCAGCUGUGAAAAGUACUUCAGUGAUGGUAAAAUACUGACUAAAGCAGAAGCCUGGCUGGGCAGUUUCACAGCCGAUUCCUCAGAAGCAGAUGAAUAGAUUGGUUUGAAACUUGCUUAUGAUGGAGCUCAGCUUGGUUGAUGGUGAAUUUGAGGUUUGACAAUGGUUUGUGUUUAGGAAGGUAACAUUUGAGAUUUGAAUCGCAGCAGUUUGGCAUAUAUUGUUUGUUCUUUGUUAUAUGUGUUGUUGGGAUUAAAGUUUCUCUCUUUGCAGUGAA